UACAGAGGUGCGAACGUUGCUCGGAAUUACUGGGGCGUAAAAGCGCGUGUAGGCGGUCUGUUAAGUUGGUAGUGAAAUCCCAAUGGCUCAACCAUGGAAGUGCUGCCCAAAACUGGCAGGCUGGAGUGCCGGAGAGGGUGGCGGGAAUUCCCAGGUGUAGAGGUGAAAUUCGUAGAUAUUGGGAGGACACCGGUGGCGAAGGCGGCCACCUGGACGGGUAACUGACGCUAAGACGCGAAAGCGUGGGGAGCAAACAGGAUAGAUACCCCGAGUAAGCUCCA
rnacentral:rRNA from 1 species